GUCACGCGUCAGACUCACAGGUACCUACUAGGUAGACAGGUUAACUUUUAAUAACAAUAUUGCAAUACAGUUACUGCAUAGUUGUUUAUAACAGUUAAAGUUACUAUGUAUAUGUGAUAAUUUACAUGUUAUUUUGAUAAGUAAGUUCUUUUUGUGAGUUUGUUUACGUUUUUUUUUGUGAAAAUGUUUAUGUCAUCUGAAGUUUUUGCGACGUUCGGAGUUUCUGCGGUGCUGUCUUUCUCCGUCUCCAUAUUCAUACUACUCAUGUACGCGUCAAAAAAGGGCAUGCUUCAUCCAAAGAAAUUCGACCUUUUAAUGCCUUCAGAAACUGUCACUCCUGUACCGUCAGCGCCAGAAUUAGCGCCUUUGAAAAAUUAAUAAAAAAAAAAAUACUUGAAUGUGUUAAUUAGAUUUAAUAUUUGUAUAAUUAACUAAUGAUUUAAUUCUAUAAGAUAGGAAAGCAUAAUGUAUUUAACAUUCAUUUUUUAUGUAUGUAGAUAAGUGUAAAUUUGAAAAUAAAAGUACAUAUAAAUAAUAUACACGUGCAUAGUGUGUCAGAUUGUAAGUAUGUAUAUUUGUGGAAAAAAAAUUGACAGCUUGAUUUCGAUGUAUUUUAGGCUAAGAUUAUAGGCAUGCAUAUAACGUCAAUAUUCGCGUGUAGGUGACGCGACGCGACUUGCCCAGUUAGGUGUGAAAGGGAUAAAAAACAUACAGGCGUCAUUCAAGGUCAUAUUUUCUUGUGAGAAGUUAAUGUUCAUAGUGCAAUCUCCAGUGUAUUAGAUAUAAGCUUCUUGACCUAUAGACUCAAACUUGGACUCGAAAUAUGGUAUAAGAAUCAAAAAGUUAAAAAUCUCUUUUUUAAUACCUCUUAGAUCAUGCAUGUUUGUCAUUGCGAUAAGAAUAACUACUGAGGUGAUAAAUUAUUAUUUAUAUGCAAAUGUUAUAGAGAACGUUUCCAAAAAAUGUAUUAAUUGGCUUUUAAUCGCCAAUCGCAUUAUCAAGAGAGUAAUUAAUAUUCUGUCUGUCUCUUUCUCUCAUAUGUAUUUUUAUGAGAUGUCAAUAUAAUUAUCUCUUAUCAUUUUUCGUAUAUCAUUGAAAAUUUAGUUCAUGUAAUCUGUAUACUACUUCUACCUUAACUAUACACUAUGUUACCUUUACUAUAACAGUUAAUAAAUCUAUUAACUAAUGCACUUAAUUAGAUUUAAGGGAAUAUAUAACUUUUUUCAACCAAAUA